UACGAAGGGGGCUAGCGUUGUUCGGAUUUACUGGGCGUAAAGCGCACGUAGGCGGAUCGUUAAGUCGGGGUGAAAUCCUGGAGCUCAACUCCAGAACUGCCUUCGAUACUGGCGAUCUUGAGUCCGGAAGAGGUGAGUGGAACUCCUAGUGUAGAGGUGGAAUUCGUAGAUAUUAGGAAGAACACCAGUGGCGAAGGCGGCUCACUGGUCCGGUACUGACGCUGAGGUGCGAAAGCGUGGGAGCAAACAGGG
rnacentral:rRNA from 1 species